rnacentral:tRNA from 1 species
UGGAUGGUUAGAAUCUUUUUUGCAGUAAGAUCAUUUUUAAGCCAACCAU